rnacentral:lncRNA from 1 species
UUCCGUUUCUGUUUUCGGUAAAGAGGCAAAUUGUUUUCUCCAUUUACAUAAAUUUGCUUAUGAAUUUUAAUUUUUUUUAAUAUAAGCUUGGGAGUUUUAAAAUAUAACGCGGCUUCAAGCUUAUCUUUGCGAACAUUUUUCCAAAUUAUCAAUACCUAUAGUAAAUCUUUUUUUUCUUUUAUAGAUAAAUCUUUCCGUUUACUCAGCGUAAUGAAAGACAAAUUUUUGAACGGGAACUACAACAAUUAUACCUACUUAACGACGGGAUGUAUGUCGAUACACUCUUAAGUUUAAAAAGAUGAAACUUAGCAGCCUACUUAUAUCCGUGACAGUGUAACACUGAUGUCUUAGGUAUACCUAUAUUUACAUGCAGGAUCAUAAAAGGAUGUUUUAGGCUAACAACUACAUACAGUGACAUGUAUCGUACAAAAAAUCGGUGUUGCCGCCGCUCAAAUUAUUUUAGGUGUUGCCUGAACAACAAUUGGACCCUAUAUAUGUGACACGCCACUGUGACUACAUACAAUAGUAGUUAUACCUUCUAGCAGGCACUGCUUCGCCCAAAAUUAGAAGACAUGUAAGUCGUGUAAAUGCUGACAUUGAAAAAACCAAACAAGAAAAUGUUAAAAUGUAUGUUGUUAAGAAACGCAGAUGCAAUAACAAUAAAUGGUAAUACAUAUAGCCAUACGAGGUAUAGGUAUCGUAUAGGUAAGUGCCCAUAGAGAACAAAUUAUUUUAAUAAAAUUGAAUUACUUUUAUUAAAAUUCUGUAUUAGCUAUAAUUACCUACGUGUUCUAUUUUUUGUAAGUAUAUUUUUUUCUGUGACAUACCUAAGGUGAUAACUGAUAACAGUCAGCUAUAUUAUAUGAAAUAAUAUUAUAAUUUAUAAUAUUUAUUAUAUUACAUAUAGGUAGUCGGUAAGUAGGUCGUUAUAGUUGUGGUAUACUAGCUGGUACCUAUGUGAUUUGAUUUUGGCAAAAUAUGAUUAUUAUUUAUUAUAAUUUAUAAUGUAUACUGAUAUUAGAUAUAAUAAGUUAAAUAUAAAGUUAAACUAAUUUAUACCAUUGAUUUUGCUUAUACCUAAUUUGCUUUCAACAGAAAGUAAAAUAGUCUUGAUUUCUUUGUAUUGUAUCUAUAUAAGUGCGUUAUAUUAAUACAAUUUUGUAGAUUAUUUUAUAGGGUUUGAUGUAUUGGAUAUAUUGAACAUUAUACCUUGUCCCUUAGGAUUUAGUAUAUACCAACAUUCCAAUAAUAUAAUUCCGUAGUGGGGAUGCGAGUGCAAACUUUGGCCGCGUGGUGGCGUCAUUUACUCGAGAGUCGAUACUUUGAGUCUAGGCCACGGCUAUAGAUAAUAGUAGUCGACUAUUAUCUAUAGCCAUGUUCUAUACUCGAUAGCUGGUCUGUUAAACGUAAUAUUGUAAUAACUAUAGUAUAACUACAUAUAUCGAUACACGUGGUUUAUUGAUGUAAUAUAAUAUAUUUGGAAACAAGAAAUAAAGUCACAACAAAAACCCUAAUGUUGUUCGGUGUAAAACAAAAAACUUUGAGCACUUAAAAGUUGUGAUAUAAUAAAACCAAAAGUAUUAGUAUUCAGUAGUAAGUACUAUCUAUACCUAAUAGUACUCAGUACUCACUCGUAUCACUCAGUAGUCAUUACUGUAAUUAUUUAAUUUCCGAGAACAUUUUUAAACAAAAAAUUAAAUAUUUAAUAAUAUUAAGUUAGGUUUUAA